AAUCAACGCUGGCGGCGUGCCUAACACAUGCAAGUCGAACGAGAACGGUUCCUUCGGGGACUUAGUAAAGUGGCGAACGGGUGAGUAACGCGUGGAUAAUCUGCCCUCAAGUGGGGGAUAACUCGGGAAACCCGGGCUAAUACCGCAUAAGCCCUACGGGGGAAAAGUAUUUAUAUUGCUUGAGGAGGAGUCCGCGUCCGAUUAGCUGGUUGGUGAGGUAAGAGCUCACCAAGGCGACGAUUGGUAGCCGGUCUGAGAGGACGGACGGCCACACUGGAACUGAGACACGGUCCAGACUCCUACGGGAGGCAGCAGUGGGGAAUUUUGGGCAAUGGGGGAAACCCUGACCCAGCAACGCCGCGUGGAGGAAGAAGGUUUUCGGAUCGUAAACUCCUGUCCGGAGGGACGAAGCAAGUGACGGUACCUCUGGAGGAAGCCCCGGCUAACUCCGUG
rnacentral:rRNA from 1 species